UAAUACUAAGUGUCAAUUUGAUUGGAUUGAGGGACACCAUGUAUUAAUCCCGGAUGUGUCUUUGUGGGUAUAGCCAAAAGAGAUUAACAUUUGAGUCAAGGGAAGGCAAAUUCACCCUUAAUCUGGUGGGCACAAUCUAAUCAGCUUCCAGCAAAUAUAAAGCAGGCAGAAAAACGUGAAAAAAGGAAGAUGGGCCUAGCCUCUCAGCCCACAUCUUUCUCCUAUGCUGGAUGCUUCCUUCCCUUGAACAUCAGACUCUGGGUUCUUCAGUUUGGGAACUCAGACUGGCUCUCAGCUUGCAGACAGCCUAUUGUGGAACCUUGUGAUCAUAUGGGUAUUCAGGAACAAAGGGAAGGCCCUGACUGAACCCUGGGAGCAUCUUUGGGCUUCUGCUUUGUGAGAAUCCAUGAGGAAAGGAGAAAAAGGAAAUCACAGCCCUCAACCUCCCUUUCUUAGGAGAAAGAAGAGAAUGAAUGAGGAAGCUGAAGAGCAGGAGGAAUAGGAGAAGGAUUCUUGUCCAUACUGAAGAAAAAGGACAACGUUCAAGAUGCCCAAAGAGAAGCAGGUGCUCAUAGGCAGGGUUUCCUCUUCAUUCCCUGCCUGUUUGCCCAGCUCCAAAGCUCCCAGGUCUCCCCUUCCUUCAUUCCUUCUCAACUGACCCCUCACUUUCAUCUUGCCGGUUUCCCAAAGGAAUGUUUAAAUAGGUGUUACAUAAAUUGGUAUUAAUCAGUAACCACUUAGAUAAAUAGUGUGUCUUUUCUCAUCCUCUACUUCCCUUUGUUCUCCAAGAAAAGGAAUGAAGUCUCUCUGGUCAAGAUAGGCAGUGAGUUCAUGCUUGAUAACUCCUGCUACUCCAAACAACAUAGCAAUGAAAUGAAAAGUGAAAACACAAUCACAAAAUAACAAGGUUCUAACAUGAAAUAAGCAUCUGCAUUGAUCAGAAACAGAACAAAAUAUUAAAAAGUGAUCCUGAAUGAGUUCAUGUCCUUUGCAGGGACAUGGAUGAAGUUGGAAACCAUCAUUCUCAGCAAAUUAUCACAAGGACAGAAAACCAAACACCGCAUGUUUUCACUCAUAGGUGGGGAUUGAACCAUGAGAACACAUGGACACAGGGUGGGGAACAUCACACACCGGGGCCUGUCAGGGGCUGGCUGUUAGAGGAGGGAUAGCAGUAGGAGAAAUACCUAAUGUAAAUGACGAGUUGAUAGGUGCAGCAAGCCAACAUGGCACAUGUAUACCUAUGUAACAAACCUGCACAUUGUGCACAUGUACCCUAGAACUUAAAGUAUAACAAUAAAAAUGAAAAGAUAAAAUAAUUUUAAAAAGUGAUCCUGAAUGGAGCUAUGAGCUUGCUGGGCUCUGGGCCCAGGCAGAGAGAAUGGUAGCUAAGAGUUCAGAUCCUGGGGAGAAAGGAACUUAAAAUACUUCACAGGAAAUAAAGAACUUGAGUCAGGAGUUUUUACCACCUUACUCUUCUCUUAGGUGGUAAAAGGAAGCUAGAAAGUAUUACUGACAAUUACUGUCUAAGGGUACACGUCUUUGCAAGCUUCAGCCUACAGUUGUGGGAGUCCAGAGACACGAUCUCAGACCAGGGUCUGGGAUCUGUGACAACCCACCAUUCCCUGCGGGGAGAACUCUGAGUAACUAUUAUAAGACUUGGUUCUGGAGGAGGGACCAAGUAAGCUGGGAGGAGAUGCAAGCCACUAGACAAGAAGGAAUAGGGGGAACAAGAAAGAGAAGGAGACAAAACAUGAAAGAGAUGGAACCUUUCACUCAAAAGAUUUUCUUCACAGAAUACUUGCACGUCUUUUUAUAGGUUUAUGUAUAAGUGUCUUAUUGCUUCUUUGGUACUACGAAUGAGAUUUUUUUUUCUAAUUAUGUUUCUGAUUGGUUGUUUUGUGUAGGAAUGCGAUUGUCUUUGUAUGUUGAUUUGGCAUCCAGCCAAAAUGCUAAAACUUUU
ensembl:lncRNA